UACAGAGGGGGCAAGCGUUGUUCGGAAUUACUGGGCGUAAAGGGCGCGUAGGCGGCCCGCUAAGUCGAACGUGAAAUCCCCGAGCUCAACUCGGGAACUGCGUCCGAUACUGGUGGGCUUGAAUCCGGGAGAGGGAUGCGGAAUUCCAGGUGUAGCGGUGAAAUGCGUAGAUAUCUGGAGGAACACCGGUGGCGAAGGCGGCAUCCUGGACCGGCAUUGACGCUGAGGCGCGAAAGCGUGGGGGAGCAAACAGG
rnacentral:rRNA from 1 species